rnacentral:rRNA from 1 species
UACAGAGGUGGCAAGCGUUGUUCGGAAUUACUGGGCGUAAAGGGUUUGUAGGUGGCCCGCUAAGUCACACGUGAAAUCCCUCAGCUUAACUGGGGAACUGCGUGUGAGACUGGCAGGCUCGAGGGCAGGAGAGGAACGCGGAAUUCCAGGUGUAGCGGUGAAAUGCGUAGAUAUCUGGAGGAACACCGGUGGCGAAGGCGGCGUUCUGGACUGUCUCUGACACUGAAGAACGAAAGCCAGGGGAGCAAACGGG